rnacentral:lncRNA from 1 species
GAGAGUACACACCGACAUCUUCUUUUAGAACGAGCUCGAUCUGGCCUUGUAGGCUUGAAGCUCGUCAAGACAUCAAUUUGUUAUGGGCAUCGGAAAUUGAAUGACUCUACAAAGUUUUGUCUGGUUUUAGGUAAAUGUGGCCAAAGUGACUACGUAGCCGUAAGGACCUCAGACUACAUUUAUAUACAAGACAUUUCGCGUAAGAUCACCUAUUAGACCUUCAAUAAAGACGAAUAACCUUACGUGAAGUAAGAUCACCUAUUAGACCUUCAAUAAAGAUGAAUAGCCUUACGUGAAAUAUGUCGGCAUGACUUGUGUAAUC